AUACAGGGCUACUUCUAGUCUUGUAAUUGGAAUGAGUACAACUUACAUCUCUUCACGAGGAUCAACUGGAGGGCAAGUCUGGUGCCAGCAGCCGCGGUAAUUCCAGCUCCAGAAGCGUAUAUUAAAGUUGUUGCAGUUAAAACGCUCGUAGUCGGGUUUCGGGUCGGGCCGAGCGGUCUGCCGAUGGGUAUGCACUGUUUGGCGCGGCCUUCUUUCCGGAGACCGCGGCUACUCUUAACUGAGCGGGCGUGGGAGACGGAUCGUUUACUUUGAAAAAAUCAGAGUGUUUCAAGCAGGCAGCUCGCUCUUGCAUGGUACAGCAUGGGAUGAUUGAAUAGGACUCCGGUGCUAUUUUGUUGGUUUCGAACACCAGGAGUAAUGAUUAACAGGGACAGUCAGGGGCACUCGUAUUCCGUCGAGAGAGGUGAAAUUCUCAGACCAAUGGAAGACGAACCACUGCGAAAGCAUUUGCCAGGGAUGUUUUCACUGAUCAAGAACGAAAGUUAGGGGAUCGAAGACGAUCAGAUACCGUCGUAGUCUUAACCAUAAACCAUGCCGACUAGGGAUUGGAGGGUGUUCGUUUCGACCUCUUCAGCACCUUACGGGAAACUAAAGUCUUUGGGUUCCGGGGGGAGUAUGGUCGCAAGGCUGAAACUUAAAGGAAUUGACGGAAGGGCACCACCAGGAGUGGAGCCUGCGGCUUAAUUUGACUCAACACGGGGAAACUUACCAGGUCCAGACAUUGUUAGGAUUGACAGAUUGAGAGCUCUUUCUUGAUUCGAUGGGUGGUGGUGCAUGGCCGUUCUUAGUUGGUGGAGUGAUUUGUCUGGUUAAUUCCGAUAACGAACGAGACCGUAGCCUGCUAAAUAGUCCCGCGAACUUCUUGUUGGCGGCCGACUUCUUAGAGGGACAACUUGUGACCAACAAGUGGAAGUUUGCGGCAAUAACAGGUCUGUGAUGCCCUUAGAUGUUCUGGGCCGCACGCGCGCUACACUGAAGCACUCAACGAGUCCACCUCGACCGACAGGUCUGGGAAACCUUUUGAAAUUGCUUCGCGAUGGGGAUAGAUUAUUGCAAC
rnacentral:rRNA from 1 species